rnacentral:rRNA from 1 species
UUUUCUUCCCUCCUGAAAGUGGUUUACAAUCCUAGAACCGUCAUCCCACACGCGGUGUCGCUGUGUCAAGCUUUCGCUCAUUGCACAAUAUUCCCUGCUGCAGCCUCCCGUAGGAGUCUGGGCCGUGUCUCAGUCCCAGUGUGGCUGAUCGUCCUCUCAGACCAGCUAUCCGUCGUAGCCUUGGUAGGCUUUUACCCCACCAACUAGCUGAUAGAACGCGAGCUCAUCUUAGUUCGGCUGACCUUUCCUUAAAACUUCAUGUGAAAAAAUAAGAAUAUCCGGUAUUAAUCCGAGUUUCCUCGGGCUAUCCCAGUAACUAAGGUAGAUUGCUCACGCGUUACUCACCCGUUCGCCGCUCAGUCAUUUCUAGUAGUAAACUACCAAAAAGCUUCGCUCAACUUGCAUGCAUAAGGCGCACCGCCAGCGUUCGUCCUGAGCCAUGAUCAAACUCU